AUUGAACGCUGGCGGCAUGCCUUACACAUGCAAGUCGAACGGCAGCGGACCUUCGGGUGCCGGCGAGUGGCGAACGGGUGAGUAAUAUAUCGGAACGUACCUUUCAGUGGGGGAUAACGUAGCGAAAGUUACGCUAAUACCGCAUAUUCUGUGAGCAGGAAAGCAGGGGAUCGCAAGACCUUGCGCUGAUUGAGCGGCCGAUAUCAGAUUAGCUAGUUGGUGAGGUAAAGGCUCACCAAGGCGACGAUCUGUAGCGGGUCUGAGAGGAUGAUCCGCCACACUGGAACUGAGACACGGUCCAGACUCCUACGGGA
rnacentral:rRNA from 1 species